rnacentral:rRNA from 1 species
ACGGGGUGCAGCAGGCGCGAAACCUCCGCAAUGCGGGAAACCGCGACGGGGGGACCCCCAGUGCCGUGCCUCUGGCACGGCUUUUCCGGAGUGUAAAAAGCUCCGGGAAUAAGGGCUGGGCAAGGCCGGUGGCAGCCGCCGCGGUAAUACCGGCGGCCCGAGUGGUGGCCACUAUUAUUGGGCCUAAAGCGGCCGUAGCCGGGCCCGUAAGUCCCUGGCGAAAUCCCACGGCUCAACCGUGGGGCUCGCUGGGGAUACUGCGGGCCUUGGGACCGGGAGAGGCCGGGGGUACCCCCGGGGUAGGGGUGAAAUCCUAUAAUCCCGGGGGGACCGCCGGUGGCGAAGGCGCCCGGCUGGAACGGGUCCGACGGUGAGGGCCGAAGGCCAGGGGAGCGAACCGGAUUAGAUACCCGGGUAGUCCUGGCUGUAAAGGAUGCGGGCUAGGUGUCGGGCGAGCUUCGAGCUCGCCCGGUGCCGUAGGGAAGCCGUUAAGCCCGCCGCCUGGGGAGUACGGCCGCAAGGCUGAAACUUAAAGGAAUUGGCGGGGGAGCAC